UUGUAAUCUGUCCUCGUAUCCACCGGUCC
rnacentral:piRNA from 1 species